rnacentral:rRNA from 1 species
GAUGAACGCUGGCGGCGUGCCUAAUACAUGCAAGUCGAGCGAACAGAUAAGGAGCUUGCUCCUUUGACGUUAGCGGCGGACGGGUGAGUAACACGUGGAUAACCUACCUAUAAGACUGGGAUAACUUCGGGAAACCGGAGCUAAUACCGGAUAACAUAUUGAACCGCAUGGUUCAAUAGUGAAAGGCGGCUUUGCUGUCACUUAUAGAUGGAUCCGCGCCGUAUUAGCUAGUUGGUAAGGUAACGGCUUACCAAGGCAACGAUACGUAGCCGACCUGAGAGGGUGAUCGGCCACACUGGAACUGAGACACGGUCCAGACUCCUACGGGAGGCAGCAGUAGGGAAUCUUCCGCAAUGGGCGAAAGCCUGACGGAGCAACGCCGCGUGAGUGAUGAAGGUCUUCAGAUCGUAAAACUCUGUUAUCAGGGAAGAACAAAUGUGUAAGUAACUGUGCACAUCUUGACGGUACCUGAUCAGAAAGCCACGGCUAACUACGUG